GUAAUCAGAUUAGGGAAGUGUUUAAAUUGCAAGGAAUAGUUAUCCGGAGCAAAGAUAAACAUAGGGUGCUUUCAAAUAGGCUGAAGGG